AACGUACGCUGGCGGCACGCCUAACACAUGCAAGUCGAACGAAGUAGCAAUACUUAGUGGCAGACGGGUGAGUAACAUGUAGGUAUCUGCCCUUUGGCCUGGAAUAACACGAGGAAACUUGUGCUAAUACCGGAUAAGUCUUUACGGAGAAAGCUUUAUGCACCAUUGGAUGAGCCUGCACUUGAUUAGUUUGUUGGUGGGGUAAUGGCCUACCAAGACUGUGAUCAAUAGCUGAUUUGAGAGGAUGAUCAGCCACAUUGGGACUGAGACACGGCCCAAACUCCUACGGGAGGCAGCAGUGGGGAAUCUUGCAUAAUGGAGGAAACUCUGAUGCAGCGAUGCCGCGUGAGUGAAGAAGGCCCUUGGGUUGUAAAGCUCUUUCGUCGGGGAAGAAAAUGACUGUACCCGAAUAAGAAGGUCCGGCUAACUUCGUGCCAGCAGCCGCGGUAAUACGAAGGGACCUAGCGUAGUUCGGAAUUACUGGGCUUAAAGAGUUCGUAGGUGGUUGAAAAAGUUAGUGGUGAAAUCCCAGAGCUUAACUCUGGAACUGCCAUUAAAACUUUUCAGCUAGAGUAUGAUAGAGGAAAGCAGAAUUUCUAGUGUAGAGGUGAAAUUCGUAGAUAUUAGAAAGAAUACCAAUUGCGAAGGCAGCUUUCUGGAUCAUUACUGACACUGAGGAACGAAAGCAUGGGUAGCGAAGAGGAUUAGAUACCCUCGUAGUCCAUGCCGUAAACGAUGUGUGUUAGACGUUGGAAAUUUAUUUUCAGUGUCGCAGGGAAACCGAUAAACACACCGCCUGGGGAGUACGACCGCAAGGUUAAAACUCAAAUGAAUUGACGGGGACCCGCACAAGUAGUGGAGCAUGUGGUUUAAUUCGAAGAUACGCGCAGAACCUUACCAACACUUGACAUGUUCGUCGCGACUCUAAGAGAUUAGAGUUUUCGGUUCGGCCGGACGAAACACAGGUGCUGCAUGGCUGUCGUCAGCUCGUGUCGUGAGAUGUUGGGUUAAGUCCCGCAACGAGCGCAACCCUCACUUUUAGUUGCCAUCAUUAAGUUGGGCACUCUGAAAGAACUGCCAGUGAUAAGCUGGAGGAAGGUGGGGAUGACGUCAAGUCCUCAUGGCCCUUACGUGUUGGGCUACACACGUGCUACAAUGGUAUCUACAACAGGAAGCAAGACUGCGAAGUUAAGCAAAUCCCUAAAAGAUACCUCAGUUCGGAUUGCACUCUGCAACUCGAGUGCAUGAAGCUGGAAUUACUAGUAAUCGUGGAUCAGCGUGCCACGGUGAAUGCGUUCCCGGGUCU
rnacentral:rRNA from 1 species